CACGUAGGGUGCGAGCGUUGUCCGGAAUUAUUGGGCGUAAAGAGCUCGUAGGCGGUGUGUCGCGUCGGCCGUGAAAACCUGCAGCUUAACUGUGGGCUUGCGGUCGAUACGGGCAUCACUGGAGUUCGGCAGGGGAGACUGGAAUUCCUGGUGUAGCGGUGAAAUGCGCAGAUAUCAGGAGGAACACCAGUGGCGAAGGCGAUCAUCUGGGGUUGUUCUGACGCUGAGGAGCGAAAGCUAGGGGAGCAAACGGG
rnacentral:rRNA from 1 species